GACAGUAUGGCUGAGUGGUCGAAGGCGUCAGGUGCGAACAUUUACCUGAUACCCAUUGGGUUCGUAGGUUCAAAUCCUGCUGCUGUCA